CCUACGGGUGGCUGCAGUGAGGAAUUUUGGUCAAUGGGCGCAGGCCUGAACCAGCCAAGUCGCGUGAGGGAUGACUGCCCUAUGGGUUGUAAACCUCUUUUAUAUGGGAAUAAUAAUUACUACGUGUAGGCAGAUGUCUGUACCUUAUGAAUAAGCAUCGGCUAACUCCGUGCCAGCAGCCGCGGUAAUAGGGGGGAUGCGAGCGUUAUCCGGAUUUAUUGGGUUUAAAGGGUGCGUAGGCGGUAUUUUAAGUCAGUGGGGAACGGUUGGGGCUCAACCUUAAUUGGCAAUUAAAACUGGCAGACUAGAGUACAGACGAGGUAGGCGGAAUAAGUGAAGUAGCGGUGAAAUGCUUAGAUAUAACGUAGAACCCCGAUAGCGAAGGCAGCUUACCAGACUGUUACUGACACUGAGGCACGAGAGUGUGGGUAGCAAACAGGAUUAGAUACCCGAGUAGUC
rnacentral:rRNA from 1 species